AGUGAACGCUGGCGGUAGGCCUAACACAUGCAAGUCGAACGGCAGCACAGUAAGAGCUUGCUCUUACGGGUGGCGAGUGGCGGACGGGUUAGGCAUACAUCGGAAUCUACUUUUUCGUGGGGGAUAACGUAGGGAAACUUACGCUAAUACCGCAUACGACCUACGGGUGAAAGCAGGGGAUCUUCGGACCUUGCGCGAUUGAAUGAGCCGAUGUCGGAUUAGCUAGUUGGCGGGGUAAAGGCCCACCAAGGCGACGAUCCGUAGCUGGUCUGAGAGGAUGAUCAGCCACACUGGAACUGAGACACGGUCCAGACUCCUACGGGAGGCAGCAGUGGGGAAUAUUGGACAAUGGGCGCAAGCCUGAUCCAGCCAUACCGCGUGGGUGAAGAAGGCCUUCGGGUUGUAAAGCCCUUUUGUUGGGAAAGAAAAGCAGCAGGUUAAUACCCCGCUGUUCUGACGGUACCCAAAGAAUAAGCACCGGCUAACUUCGUG
rnacentral:rRNA from 1 species